rnacentral:rRNA from 1 species
UACGUAGGGUGCUAGCGCUGUCCGGAAUUACUGGGCGUAAAGAGCUCGUAGGUGGUUUGUCGCGUUGUUCGUGAAAACUCACGGCUUAACUGUGAGCGUGCGGGCGAUACGGGCAGACUGGAGUACUGCAGGGGAGACUGGAAUUCCUGGUGUAGCGGUGGAAUGCGCAGAUAUCAGGAGGAACACCGGUGGCGAAGGCGGGUCUCUGGGCAGUAACUGACGCUGAGGAGCGAAAGCGUGGGGAGCGAACAGG